rnacentral:rRNA from 1 species
UACGUAGGGGGCAAGCGUUGUCCGGAAUCAUUGGGCGUAAAGCGCGUGUAGGCGGCCCGAUAAGUCCGCUGUGAAAGUCCAGGGCUCAACCCUGGGAUGCCGGUGGAUACUGUCGGGCUCGAGUCCGGAAGAGGCGAGUGGAAUUCCUGGUGUAGCGGUGAAAUGCGCAGAUAUCAGGAGGAACACCGGUGGCGAAGGCGGCUUUCUGGACAGAUACCGACGCUGAGGCACGAAAGCUAGGGGAGCAAACAGG